UACAUGGGGUGCAAACGUUGCUCGGAAUUAUUGGGCGUAAAGCGCACGUAGGUGGUCUGUUAUGUCAGAUGUGAAAGCCCUCGGCUUAACUGAGGAAGUGCACCUGAAACUGGCAGGCUUGAGUACGAAAGAGGGUCGCGGAAUUCCCGGUGUAGAGGUGAAAUUCGUAGAUAUCGGGAGGAACACCGGUGGCGAAGGCGGCGACCUGGGUAGAUACUGACGCUGAGGUGGCGAAAGCGUGGGGAGCAAACAGG
rnacentral:rRNA from 1 species